AUUGAACGCUGGCGGCAGGCCUAACACAUGCAAGUCGAGCGGAUGAGUGGAGCUUGCUCCAUGAUUCAGCGGCGGACGGGUGAGUAAUGCCUAGGAAUCUGCCUGGUAGUGGGGGACAACGUUUCGAAAGGAACGCUAAUACCGCAUACGUCCUACGGGAGAAAGCAGGGGACCUUCGGGCCUUGCGCUAUCAGAUGAGCCUAGGUCGGAUUAGCUAGUUGGUGAGGUAAAGGCUCACCAAGGCGACGAUCCGUAACUGGUCUGAGAGGAUGAUCAGUCACACUGGAACUGAGACACGGUCCAGACUCCUACGGGAGGCAGCAGUGGGGAAUAUUGGACAAUGGGCGAAAGCCUGAUCCAGCCAUGCCGCGUGUGUGAAGAAGGUCUUCGGAUUGUAAAGCACUUUAAGUUGGGAGGAAGGGCAGUAAGUUAAUACCUUGCUGUUUUGACGUUACCGACAGAAUAAGCACCGGCUAACUUCGUGCCAGCCGCCGCGGUAACAC
rnacentral:rRNA from 1 species